AAUUGAAUAAAUUGAAAAAUAUGUAUGACUUUGAAAUUGAAUGUGAUUUGAUAUUGAAUUUGAUACUGUAUUAUUAUAGAAUUAUUAGUCGUAGCUAAAGACAAUGCAAAACUAUCGAGAGGGAAAAGAAAAGCGAGAGUGGAUGACGAAAGACGCGAGUUUUCAGUUUUUAUUUCUUUGAUUCGAGAACCAGUAAUUUUCUACAUGUCCAUCUUAAUUUGCAUUGUAAUAGGCCCAAUUCGCUCGACCCAUCAUAAACCAAAAAUAAUAAAUAUAAAAAAGAAAAGAAAAACACAAUAAAUGGCCCCAAAUUAGUCAAAGCCCAAGUUCUUUUACAAAUAAUAAAAUAACCUAAUUAACCCAAAUAAAUCCCCAAACCCAAUAAUAAAUUUAACCUAAAUAUAUAUAUAACCCAAUUAGCCCAAAUAACCCAUUACCCCAGGCUCAAAACACUAAUGAUUUUUUUCGGCAGAAACCCUAGGUCAUUAGAAGCUUCAGCCGCUGCAGCCUCCAACCGAUCCUUCCAAGCGCGCCACGCUCUACGCCCACGAAUAACUCCUCCACGCCAUGCACACCUGCAACAAGAACAACAACGGAUAACAAAUAACAGCAAAUUCCAGCAAGGAAAAUUUGUAUUAUUUUAUUUUAUUUUAUUCCUAUUUUUUGGUUAUAAAACCGAAUGAAGAUGAAUGUAAGGGGGGACGCACAUUAUACGCAUAUAGAUAUACAAAAAGUUUGAAUAAAAAAGAAAAGAAGUUUCCAAGAGGUGAUUUGAAAAUAUCAUUUUUUUUCAUUUGAUUUUGCUUUUAUUUCUUCUUUGAUCUUCAUUAUUGUAAGUGAAAAACAAAUAAAUAAAGGCGUAGAAGGCUUCGAAAUCCUUCUUUACUUCGUGGUAGUCGAAGCUUAGAUGAGGAUUGAGGUUAGGCCUAGCAAAACUCUCGGAUUCGAGGUCGAAUGGGGCCAGAUUAGGCCUUUGCAUGAUGACCGUCGGCCGAAUAUGGAGGAAAAUGGCAGUUGAAGGGUUUUUUUUUUGGUUCGGCUGAAUGGGAGAGAGAUAGGAAGCUUAGGUUCUUUGUUUUGAUUUUGUUUAAGGGGACUAAGGGUCAUUUUAGGGUUUUUUCUUUUGUUUUUUAGGAAGUAUAAGAAACGGCGCUGUUUAUGGGGAAGAAGAUCCGCGCGUCGACCCAUUCUGCGGCCCAGAUCCGCGUUUUACCUUGAAUGGUCCAUUUGUGUCCAUGGUCCUUUUACUUUGCUGAACCAUUCAAUCGCGCCUUAUUAGUUUUGCCUUGUUUUUUAAUUUGGCUCUUUAAUUUGUGCAUGUUUUCAUUUUAGUUCGUGAUACAGUGCUGCAUUUUGGGCUCAAGGAUGUUUGCAAU
rnacentral:lncRNA from 1 species